CGUGCCAGCAGCCGCGGUAAUACGGAGGAUGCGAGCGUUAUCCGGAUUUAUUGGGUUUAAAGGGUGCGUAGGCGGAUUGUUAAGUCAGCGGUGAAAGUUUUCGGCUCAACCGGAAAAUUGCCGUUGAAACUGGCGAUCUUGAGUGUAAAUGAGGUAGGCGGAAUGCGUGGUGUAGCGGUGAAAUGCUUAGAUAUCACGCAGAACUCCGAUUGCGAAGGCAGCUUACUGGGAUACAACUGACGCUGAGGCACGAAAGCGUGGGGAUCAAACAGGAUUAGAUACCCUGGUAGUCCACGCAGUAAACGAUGAAUACUAACUGUUUGCGAUAUACAGCAAGUGGUAAAGCGAAAGCGUUAAGUAUUCCACCUGGGGAGUACGCCGGCAACGGUGAAACUCAAAGGAAUUGACGGGGGCCCGCACAAGCGGAGGAACAUGUGGUUUAAUUCGAUGAUACGCGAGGAACCUUACCCGGGCUUGAACGCAGAGAGACUGUAGUGGAAACAUUACUUCUAGCAAUAGCUGUCUGCGAGGUGCUGCAUGGUUGUCGUCAGCUCGUGCCGUGAGGUGUCGGCUUAAGUGCCAUAACGAGCGCAACCCCUAUCGAUAGUUACUAACAGGUUAAGCUGAGGACUCUAUCGAGACUGCCAGCGUAAGCUGUGAGGAGGGUGGGGAUGACGUCAAAUCAGCACGGCCCUUACGUCCGGGGCGACACACGUGUUACAAUGGCAGGUACAAAGGGCAGCUACACGGCGACGUGAUGCUAAUCUCUAAAACCUGUCUCAGUUCGGAUCGGAGUCUGCAACUCGACUCCGUGAAGCUGGAUUCGCUAGUAAUCGCGCAUCAGCCAUGGCGCGGUGAAUACGUUCCCGGGCCUUGUACACACCGCCCGUC
rnacentral:rRNA from 1 species